UGUCCUACGGGAGGCAGCAGUGAGGAAUAUUGGUCAAUGGGCGGGAGCCUGAACCAGCCAAGUCGCGUGAGGGAAGACGGUCCUACGGAUUGUAAACCUCUUUUGCCGGGGAGCAACGGGGUCCUUGCGAGGACCCGAUGAGAGUACCCGGAGAAAAAGCCCCGGCUAACUACGUGCCAGCAGCCGCGGUAAUACGUAGGGGGCGAGCGUUAUCCGGAUUCACUGGGUGUAAAGGGAGCGUAGACGGCCAUGCAAGCCAGGGGUGAAAGCCCGGGGCCCAACCCCGGGACUGCCCUUGGAACUGC
rnacentral:rRNA from 1 species